UACGGAGGGUGCAAGCGUUAUUCGGAAUUACUGGGCGUAAAGCGCGUGUAGGCGGGAAGGUAAGUCUGAUGUGAAAGCCCUGGGCUCAACCUGGGAAGUGCAUUGGAUACUGCUUUUCUUGAGUUCUUGAGAGGAUGGGGGAAUUCCCGGUGUAGAGGUGAAAUUCGUAGAGAUCGGGAGGAAUAUUAGUGGCGAAGGCGCCCAUCUGGACGGCAACUGACGCUGAGACGCGAAAGCGUGGGGAGCAAUCAGG
rnacentral:rRNA from 1 species